GAUACCAUGUUGAAAAACCAGUUCCCAUAAGAACAACAAAGUUAAGCAACAUUGAGCCUGGUCAGUACCUAGAUGGGUGACCACUUGGGAAUAGCAGGUGCU